rnacentral:rRNA from 1 species
AUGGUUUCGGCUAUCACUUUAGGAUGGACCCGCGGUGCAUUAGUUAGUUGGUGAGGUAAAGGCUCACCAAGACCGUGAUGCAUAGCCGACCUGAGAGGGUAAUCGGCCACACUGGGACUGAGACACGGCCCAGACUCCUUCGGGAGGCAGCAGUAGGGAAUCUUCCACAAUGGACGAAAGUCUGAUGGAGCAACGCCGCGUGAGUGAAGAAGGUUUUCGGAUCGUAAAACUCUGUUGUUGGAGAAGAACGUAUUUGAUAGUAACUGAUCAGGUAGUGACGGUAUCCAACCAGAAAGCCACGGCUAACUACGUGCCAGCAGCCGCGGUAAUACGUAGGUGGCAAGCGUUGUCCGGAUUUAUUGGGCGUAAAGCGAGCGCAGGCGGUUUCUUAAGUCUGAUGUGAAAGCCUUCGGCUCAACCGAAGAAGUGCAUCGGAAACUGGGAAACUUGAGUGCAGAAGAGGACAGUGGAACUCCAUAUGUAGCGGUGAAAUGCGUAGAUAUAUGGAAGAACACCAGUGGCGAAGGCGGCUGUCUGGUCUGUAACUGACGCUGAGGCUCGAAAGCAUGGGUAGCAAACAGGAUUAGAUACCCUGGUAGUCCAUGCCGUAAACGAUGAGUGCUAGGUGUUGGAGGGUUUCCGCCCUUCAGUGCCGCAGCUAACGCAUUAAGCACUCCGCCUGGGGAGUACGACCGCAAGGUUGAAACUCAAAGGAAUUGACGGGGGCCCGCACAAGCGGUGGAGCAUGUGGUUUAAUUCGAAGCAACGCGAAGAACCUUACCAGGUCUUGACAUCCUUUGACCACUCUAGAGAUAGAGCUUUCCCUUCGGGGACAAAGUGACAGGUGGUGCACGGUUGUCGUCAGCUCGUGUCGUGAGAUGUUGGGUUAAGUCCCGCAACGAGCGCAACCCUUAUUACUAGUUGCCAGCAUUUAGUUGGGCACUCUAGUGAGACUGCCGGUGACAAACCGGAGGAAGGUGGGGACGACGUCAAAUCAUCAUGCCCCUUAUGACCUGGGCUACACACGUGCUACAAUGGAUGGUACAACGAGUCGCGAGACCGCGAGGUUUAGCUAAUCUCUUAAGACCAUUCUCAGUUCGGAUUGUAGGCUGCAACUCGCCUACAUGAAGCCGGAAUCGCUAGUAAUCGCGGAUCAGCAUGCCGCGGUGAAUACGUUCCCGGGCCUUGUACACACCGCCCGUCACACCAUGAGAGUUUGUAACACCCAAAGCCGGUGAGGUAACCUUCGGGAGCCAGCCGUCUAAGGUGGGACAGAUGAUUAGGGUGAAGUCGUAACAAGGUA